rfam:Gossypium hirsutum cultivar TM-1 chromosome 19, whole genome shotgun sequence
UGUUAAAAAAUUCAUCUAUUUGUACUAUUAAAAACUGACGUGGCUAAUAGAAUAAUCAAACAAUGAUACGUGGCGUGCCACGUGUCACUCAUACUGACAUACAAGGACCGGUUUUUAACGGUAGAAAUAGAUGAAAAUUUUAACA